AAAUUGAAGAGUUUGAUCAUGGCUCAGAUUGAACGCUGGCGGCAGGCCUAACACAUGCAAGUCGAACGGUAACAGGAAACAGCUUGCUGUUUCGCUGACGAGUGGCGGACGGGUGAGUAAUGUCUGGGAAACUGCCUGAUGGAGGGGGAUAACUACUGGAAACGGUAGCUAAUACCGCAUAACGUCGCAAGACCAAAGAGGGGGACCUUCGGGCCUCUUGCCAUCGGAUGUGCCCAGAUGGGAUUAGCUUGUUGGUGGGGUAACGGCUCACCAAGGCGACGAUCCCUAGCUGGUCUGAGAGGAUGACCAGCCACACUGGAACUGAGACACGGUCCAGACUCCUACGGGAGGCAGCAGUGGGGAAUAUUGCACAAUGGGCGCAAGCCUGAUGCAGCCAUGCCGCGUGUAUGAAGAAGGCCUUCGGGUUGUAAAGUACUUUCAGCGGGGAGGAAGGGAGUAAAGUUAAUACCUUU
rnacentral:rRNA from 1 species